UUAGCCCGUGGGUCUCCGUAAGCAGCAACCUCCAUGUGGUGAGACCUGGAAAUUGAUAUUACUUGUGAUAUAUGAUAAAUGUAAAUAACAUAAGUACUGUCAAGCUAAUGGCUGCAUUUAAAUUCAAUUAAAAUUUAUUAUGAUGAUUUUAACUAUCUUUCCAAAUUUUUUAUUUUCCAAUCUCAAUAAAGAUUAGAUAAAUUAACUUUUUAUUUAACAAAAUCAUUAUUAUAUCUGUUUUGAAAUUAAAUAAUACAUAUAUGCAAUAAAUUUUUUUAAUGAUAUUUUUAAAAUUUCAAAAGAAAUUUUUAAUAUUUCGUUGUCGGAAUGUCAAAAGAAACUAAGCCGAUAAUUAUCAAAGUCCGUGAAAGUACAUUUUUGUUGAUAUAUUAGGAAUUUUCGUAGGAAUUAAACAGGAAUCUACUAUUACAGCCGCGUUUUGCUUUGUCGCUAGAACAGGAGGUUGUUAUUACCGGCAGUUUUACUUGGUUGAUAAGUAAGAAUUCGCUAUUAUAGACAAUUUUAUUCGGUUCGUAAAAACAAGAAUCUGUUAUUAUCGAUAUUCGAUGAAAAUGGUAUUUAUAUUACCGACCGAUAAUUUAUUAAUUUCUUGAAAAUGAUCCUUUGCUAUCGAGACACUCGUCAUAUUUUUCAGUACUCCUUUUGCUCCGUUAAGGGGAUAUUUGCAAUUCGCAUGGAAACUCGAAAAAUGAUUUUUUUUUAAAUUUUAUUUGUUGUUUUGACGCGAUAAAUAUGUAAAAUGUACUACUUUUGUAAAUUUUAGUGGAAAUUGUUAUCUAGUACUUUUUUAUGGAUAAAAAGAUAUGGAAAAAGAAGAAAUCUAUGAUGAGAAUUUGGAAUUGAAUGAAAGUGAAGAGGAAUUUGAUCCUUAAAUAUUAAAGAAAAAUUUAAUUGUUUUUAUAAUCAAGAAUAAUGUAAAUGAUAAUGAUUCUGAGCUUAUUAAUAGCGACAACGAAAUUAUAGUAUGAGAUAGACGAGAAGAAUUGGAAUUAUUGAGAGUAAAAGAAAAUUCGUCGAAACAGGAAGAUGAAUCGAGCGAUAACACUAAAAGUGUGAAGAUUACAGAAGGAAUUAGAGUGUGGCCAGAAGUCAUUGGAUCACAAUUUCCUUCAGAUACUGUAGAACCGAUGCAAUAUUUAUAAUUGUUUUUCAUGGAAAAAUUCCGGAAAAGAGACCUUGUUUAUCAAUGAAGAAUUACGCCUUUUUCAUUGUUAGCAUAAACCACUAUAAAACCAAGGGUGAUGAAUAGCCUUAAAGGAAAUUUUUUUUGUAAUUUAUUUUAUCCUAACUAUAGCCGAUAUUAUCGAUAUUGAAUUUCAAAGUUCACGUCACCACAGAUGAGGUUUAAGAGCUUCGAGCCCCAUAAGAUCCAAAGUUUAAUCGGAUCUGAAGUUGCCGUUGGUUUUCUUUGGACGGUGUUAUCGGUCGUUCCUCUGCGUGAAAUAAUUCGGGAAAAAGUCAAUCUGCCUAAAGUAUUCUACAUGUAUUUCGCAUUUCAUUUGAUCAUCGUAUAUGAAUUAAAUCGAUUAUGUAUAUACAUAUCGAAUAUAUUUUAAUUAUCGAUUAAUCGGCGUCAUCUUUAAUGACGAUUGAAGGCAGAGCAUCGAAAGCAGAUUUCAGAUAUUAUUUAGCGAAUAUUUAAUUUUAUAUUAACCACAUCUAUAAAUUGUGAUAAAAUAACAUUAGUACAUGCUCUUUAUACUGUAAUCUAUAUUCGUAAUAGUAGAUUUUGUGUAUUUUUCUUCGUAUUUCAAGAUAAUGGCAAGAUAGAAUAUCAUCGAGCUUAUUGAAUAUAUACGGUCAUGUGUGUGCAUAUGUAAAACUGGACCACUACUAGAUUAUAAAAAUAUGGAUCAAAAAAGACAUUGAGUUAAUAAACGCGAUCGGAUGAGUACAUUUUUCUUGUUUAUUAAAUGCAUUUUAUACGAAACUUUUUCAUUCUAACGAACAGAACUUAAUUUUUCGAAGAGAGAUAAUGUAACGCGUUAGAAUUUUUGAUGUAAGCUCGAUUUCGUAUCGCGACAGGUAAUUUUUAUUCCACACUUUUAACUUGUUUUCUCACGCGAAACAACCACAUUUUGUAGUUGUACGAUCAUUACGUCCUAUAGCUAUAUAACCUAUAUCUAUUUAACGUAAAUUCGUCUUCCUCCCUCAUUCUCUAUCUUUCUCUCUCUCGUCGUUCGGUACGUUUCAAAAUUACUGCCACGUUAUCGAAGAUUCAGCAGAGAGAUAGUCGACUAAUCUUCGUGUUUACGAAUGCUUAGCUCGACUUAGCUUUCGUGCCACGUACCUAGCGUGCGAGAAACAUUUGUAUUUAAUUCGAGUUCCUCUCUCUCUCCCCGUCUUUCUCUCUUUCUCUCUUUCUCUCUUCCUCCCCCUCUCUUAGAGUAACGAAUAUUCGAGCAUUUUAUAGACGAAUAUAACGUCGUCGUGACCUAUCGAAACGAAUAAUGGACAAUACAUUAUACCUGUCUCGUGUUAAUAUUUAUUUCUAUGAGAGAUAAGAUUAUUUCGAUGAUAUCUAUUAAUGAGAAUUUCGAUUUAAUCGCAAUAUCCAUGGUAUUCAAAUUUAAAAUAGAAAUUUUUUCGUAUGUACAUAAAAUGAAAGAAAGAAAAGCUUAUUAUAAUUUCUUUUUUCGAUGGAUAAAAACAUCCGAGUAAAAGAUAGUCGUUAGAUGUAUCCAUUCGGUUAUCGAAACGAAGUCAGUGCGAAGUGGUGGGGUGACCUCGACACGAUCCAGCCAAAGGUCUUCUCUGAGACAAUUUAAUCAACUUCGGGAAGUUUGCGGGUAGCAGCGGUAGUCGGGUUCAGUGCAUGCAUUGUAUACUAGCCAGGGGAAUUUUGUGGACAUUGCGCGGUCAACCACUAUAAUAUUAAUAGCUUCGGUAUGAAAUUUGCUUAAUCAUGACUAACGGGAUGACCCAAUGGAAUCGGCCGACGGUUCGUCGUUGUCCAGCCGCUCGAUGUGCCAAUCUCCAAAGCGUCGGAUUCUCGCCGAGCGCGACCGCGUUAAAUUGAUGCCAAAAUUUGCCGGAUUUGUCUCGGAUACUAAAGCCCGCAAUCCCUGUUCCUCUCCUCCUCCUCCUCCUCCUUCCUCUCUUUUUGAAGUAUAUGCGAGUGGACGUACAUGUCUAUCGUUCGUUAUAUUUCUCUGUGUACCUCUUCUCUUGCUCAGUUUCGGCAAUUUUUAUAGUAGAUAUUAAAACACGUCGAAUAGGAACGACGUUAAAGACAAAACGAGGGUAAGAGAGAAGAGAUGAAGAGAAGAGGCGACAAGGAAGAGAAGGAAGAGAGAAAGGAUAGGGCUUCGGAGUGUCAGCUGCCGUUGGGAUGGUAAUGAGAGGUACCAUAACGUUAACGGGCGAACGCAUACAUUCGAGCAAUUACGGUGCUCCGACUAAUUUCCGUCCCUAGGCAAACUUGAGGAAUUUCAGGGUGGCGAGUACGUGGCUGCCGAGGACGACGCUGCCGAGUGUAAAAGGGGCAAAGCGUGCGCUGGGAGGUCGUCGUAGGACCGUGAAAGGAAGGAAGGAAAGGGUGGGGCUACGAGUGACCAUUUCGCUAGAUCUCCGCAUUUUCCCAUUCUCGCGAACACUCACGAACGACCGCGGUUACAUAUAUGUACAUAUAUACGUAUAUACAUACGAACACAGACAAGACGCACGGUCCUCGCGUUUACGCUCGUCGCACGGCAAACGAGGGCUGGUACCAACGCGUUGCCUCACGGAGAAACGAAAGGGUACGAGGCUGAGAGGGAUGUUUGUUAAAAGAAUUUUCAGCGGCGAACACGCAGCCGGCAGCAGGUAUUACGGGCUGGAUUAAUUCGCAACAAAAAUAUGUGAAAUAUUUUCGCCUCGUAGGGGAUGGUUUGCUUCGGGGUUUGCUCGAGGGAUGAGCAGACGCACGCGUACGUCCUGAACGGCAAAAAGUUCGUUCUCGCUUCUCUCUUUCUCUUUCUCUUUCUCUCUUUCUCUCUCACUCUUUCUCUUUCAGUCUCUCUUUCUCUUUCUCCGUCUCUUUCGGUACACCAAUACGUUGUCUCAUCUACACAUGUAUUUAUGUAUGUAUGUAUUAUACUUGCAUAUGUAACACUGACUGACCCGCUCUCGACGCGUGUUUUGCUUUCGGAUUGCGCGCCAAGUUUUUCACGAUAAAUCGUCGUCGCCGAGCCGACGACGACUACGACGAGGGUCAAAGACCGAAGAGACAAACGCACUCCGGACGAGCUUCGACCGCUUUGAUAUCGGACCUCCUAAUGAUGCUGACGCUACCAAGAGGGCGAGUGAAAGAGAAAAGCUCGCUUCUCCAGUGAGAAGAGUAAAAAGAGCGAUUAAUUAUGCUUCCGUGCUUUGUUUCUUUCUAGUGGAUACGAUACGUUUUCCUUUCGUUUCACUUUUACCAAAAUUCUCUUUUUCUUUUCUUAUUUGUCAAGAGAGAGAGAGAGAGAGAGAGAGAGAGAGAGAGAGAGAGAGAGAGAGAGAGAGAGAGAAAGAAAGAGAAAGGAAGAAAGAAAGAAAGAGGGAGACCUAAUAAUGUAACGGGACUUGAUUAAUGUUUCGUGAUAUUUCAUCAAGAUUCGUAUUAAUUUUAGAAACGAAUAGGUAGGAAUAGUAGAGAAUUUAUGUUUUACUUUAAAAAUAUUGCUUCCUCUAAUAAAUUCGUUCGGAUUUCAUAUAAUAUACAUAUUUUUUUUAGAAACUUCAUUUCCACGUUAUUAUUUUGUUUUCUAUUCAUUGAUAUCACAUUAACAGCUUAUGAUUAUUAGUGAUAUACUGUAAUGUAUCGAUAGAUCGUUGAAAGAUUUUAUUGGGAAUUGAUUUAUGUGUAUAAAUCGGGAAAAAGUAUGAUUUCAAGAUCUCAAACUAACGAUAUUUCGAGCCAGACGAACGAGAGGAAGAACGUUCUUUGUGCUGGCAUCGUUUAUAAAUAUAGCAAUGGUAUGUAAAUGGAAGAUCUGUGGCAUUCACGAAUCGUUCUCGUACCGGUCUCGUUGCUAUUCUCACGUGUCCGGACAUCGUUCCGCGUCCAAAGAUUCUUCAACUGAAUUCCUUCGCAGGUGCUGAGAAUAGUCAAGUCAUUCAAGAUCUUGGCUCGAGUCGAGCCAUUCUUCUCUCUCUCUCUCUUUCUCUCUCAAGAGUAUCUCUCCUUCCGUCUUAACUCCAACAGGGAAGUCGACUCUGUGCAUGGAUUAGCGCGUUCACGCGAACAAACGUUUUCCGUUUCCCGAUGAAUCUCGAAUACUUAAGUAAGUACUUACAUACGUACAUCGUUAAAAAUGAUGAUUUCAUUUUGUGAGAAAAUAUAUAAUAUAUAAUUACUAUUGAAAGAGAUGUGAAAGAUUGCUUAUAGGUCUUUCUUUUUUUUGUUUGUGAAUAUCCUCUGAUAUUCCAUACUUACGUAAUAUAAAAUGGUAGAAUUUACUCAUAACUCUUUUUUUCAGAUAUUAAUUUUCCUUACAAUACUUUACAAAAGAAAGGGAAGAAAGAAUGAAUCCAUUUGUCCGUUGAACGACUCGUCGUACGGUGCAAUCGACUAUGUUUUCUCUUUAAAGAUAAAACCGGAUAAAAAGUUCCUCCUGUAAAUUCUCGGUCGUGAUUAAACUCGAAUUACACGCAUCAACGUUGGAAGUAAGGUGUAGGAUGGAGUAUGUAGGGGUGCAUUCGACGUAAUCGAAGUAUCGCGUGCGGCUUUGCUCCCGGAACGAUAAUUCCAUUACGCGAGAGAACAAACGUACUCUCGCUUUCUUUUACUCUCUAACACGUAUAAGCCAAAGGUAGGACAUUUUUAUCGGCGGUGAUCUGAUAUUUUCGCCGAUCGAGCGACACAACGAACGAGAGGGUAGGUAAAAGCUGCUGCUGCGUGAGAUACGCGAGUAAUUCUCGUCGCAUGGGAAAGCCACGUUCCAACGGGCAUAAAUAUAUCGACGAACGCUAUUCCACGGAUGGCUUCUCCACGACACAUCGACGAACAGAUCGCGUCGCCGCAAUCGGCUUCCAACUACUACUCUCUUCGGCAUUUCGCCACCUCCUUCCUACGUAUUCUUCCUACGGUCUCUAUUUAUGUUCCCGCAUUACUUUACCUGUCGUAUUUCGUUUCAAAAGACGAGUACAAUUCAUCGGUUUGGAUUUAGGAAGGAAUAGUCACGAUGUAUCUUGCACCGAUUCGAUAUCUUGUAUUUUGCCGAUCUACCGUUCGAAUCGUUCCACGUAAAAUCGAUCAUUUUUUAAAAAAUGAUUCUUUGAUUGCGUUAAAAAUCAAAUUUUUUACUUACCAAUUGGUUCUGAAUAAAUGUACGUAAACAUAUGGGAUUUGGAAUGGAAAUUAUUUAUAUGGACAUCUAUUCAGUUAAAGCAACCACUCAAUCUGCUAAGCAGAGAAAAGAUUAUAUUAAGAAGAUUAAGAAUUGGCCUUGUCAAAUUAAUGCAUUCAUUUUAAUAUUUAAAUGUGAUCGGUCUUAUUGCGAUAGCUAUAAUUCAGGGCUGUUAAACAUAUUUUAUAAGUAUGUUAUAUUUCAAUGAUGGUAAAUAAAUUAAUUAAAAAAGAAAAAAAGACAAAAAAUAAAUAUACGUAAAAUGAUAGGAAAGAAUAUUAAAAAUUUUAUAUUACAUUACAUUAUAUAUUAUAACACAUGAUUUACAAUGCAUUAUUUAAUAAUAUUUUUCUUCCUUCAUUACGGCCAAUUGAAGGAUCAUAACAUAUUUGAUUUAAACGAAAUUCAAGAUCUUGCUCGAAUAAUUAUAACUCGAUUUCACGUUGAACGAUUCAAUGCAUCUUUUAAAUUCGCUUUCAAUCAUAAAAAGUUAUCUCGUAAUGAGUGUUACAAAAAAUUUGUUUUCCAUCUACGUGAAAUAUUUAAAAAAUGGAAACGGAGCUUUUUGAGCUUGUUUUUUCGUUUCAAACUCUCGAGUGAUUCGAUACGAUGAUAUUUACCUUUAAAGACAGUAAUUCGAUCGUUUACCGCGGAUCUUCUUUGCUCAUCGAAGAACCGUUUUAUCUCAGCUCUUUUUCGUCUCGAAAGCUCUUGAAAAAAACUGUGCUUGCAGGCAAGACACUCGUUGUUGUCGUUUUUAUAGUUACUUGAUCUUCAAACGGGACCCACUAACGAUCCUUUUACGAAGGCGAGCAUGCGUUAUCGAAUGUUUUUCCAAGAAUUUAUAGGGACAAGCUCGCUCAUUUUAUCAUCUCUUUUAGCCUGGCCUUGUAAAUAAAACUUUUAAUUGAAUGUUAACUAGAACUUCCAAGUUAAAGUUACUCGAGAAAAAAGAUUUUAAUGAAGUAUCGUGGUUUAAAAAUUUCAGCAAAAUAAGUAUGAUAUACGAGUGUAAAAAAAUGUACGAGUGUUCAACGAAAAUAUACGAAUCUGUUAGAAAUUAAAAAAGGAUACCAUCUAAUUAUUUCAUAUGAUAGGAUUAUCGUAUUACGAAUACAUACGAAAUAAAUGUAAAUACUUUUAUUCUAAUUAUAUUUCUAAUUUUGAUUUUUUCUUUUCAUUUUAUGAAAUUUUAAUUAUUAUUAUUAUCAUCAUUUUUAUUCUUCUUCUUCUAUUGUUGCUGUUGUUGUUGUUGUUAUUGUUAUUGUUAUUGUUAUUAUUAUUAUUAUUUUAUUAUUAUUAUUAUUAUUAUUAUUAUUAUUAUUAUUAUUACGGAUGACUGUUCGAUAUCGUCCAUCGUUCGAUCAAAGCUUUUAUCCUGUGCUCCAUACUUCCCGCUCUCGAGUUUAUCACUAGAAUUUAACGAUCCUCUUUAUCCGUGGGACACAAUCGUGCACGCAUCGCAUUGAAGAGAGUCGAAUCGAACGAACGAGGUCUCUUCCUUCUUUACGGGCCUCACUUUUUAGAGAUCCCAUAUAAACCCGCUGGAAUUGUCAAGCUCGCCAAAGCGAAUCCUAGUAAUAAAAAUCGGCUCUGCGUAUCCGUCCAUUCACGCACCCUUUCUUUUCUCUUCUUUUUCUCUCUGUCUCUUUGUCUCUUCUCUCUCUCUCUCUUUCUUCUAUCGGUACCAUCAUUGCAUUCACGAGUGACGAUCGAUUACAAUACGUCACGGACAAUACCAUUCCGAACAGUGCGAAUUUCAUUCAUUCGUUCGUAUCGCACAGGGCGCACGGGAAAAGUCAAACUGCCAUGACGCUUUCAUAUUUUCUCUUUCCAUCUCUCUCUCUCUCUCUCUCUCUCUCUCUCUCUCUCUCUCUCUCUCUCUCUCUCUCUCUCUCUCUCUCUCUCUCUCUCUCUCUCUCUCUCUCUCUCUCUCUGCGUAAGUCUUGCGUGAAUUCCCAUUGCGUCGCAUCGAACGCAGGUAUAAAAAGUUAUUCGUUGAGUAUUAUCGUCGAUAUGAUCCUUCUUCGGCAUUGUUUCACGCUUCUCUGCGUAUCUCCGAGCCGGAUGUCGAUUUUACGCGCUAGCUUUUCCGAGCUUGCAUCGUACCAACUGGGAUUUGGAUGCUGUAAGUUUCAACCAGAUACGAAUCGGCACAUUUUUUAUAAACACGUCUAAAGCGUAGUUUCGCGAAAUGCGAAUCGAUAAAUAUCGUAGAUAAAGAGAAGUUUGCAAGGCUUUUUUAUCGAGUAUUCAACACUUUAGAUCAGUUUAUGUUUAUUUUAUUUUUCUUUUCUUUUUAUAGUUUUUUGUUCGCAGCGUUUUGUUAGAUGUACAUUUUUCAUCGAGACAGUAGUUCAUUAAUUUCUUCUCGUGACGAAGUUUUCUCGAUUUACAAACCCUAAAGCAACGAAUUGAUUCGGUAGUUUCUUUUUAUUACCUGAGAAGUAGAUCUGCCAGUAGCAGUAUCGUUUUCUCGUCUCUUCUCUCGAGCUAGCUGUCUUAAAUAUUACGUGGUCGUGGCUGUUGCAGUUGAAGCGAUGCUUUACGAGUCUCCUGAGCUUUACACGUACGAAAGCAUUAAACUCUCGUCCAGGUGGUAACCGCGUAGUCGUAACGUAGCAAAUGAAAUGUUGCUACUUUUACGAAAGAACGACCACGGUUCUACGGUUUAGCGGGGGAGAGAGGUCAAGAGAGAGAAAAAAACCUAGAGACAGCCAAAAGAUACGUUUAAAUUCUUACUGUAAGCUUCGAAAGAGAUAUAUGUAUAUAAUUUUUUUACCUUCAAAUGAUUACAGUAAGGAUGAGUGGCUGCUGCAAAUAAAAUGUGACAGAUAACAUAUUCAACGUUAUAUCGGCUAUAAAGAAAAACUCGGAAUGUCAAUUUACGAAUAAGUAAAGAAAGUGAUGCAUUUUACUGUAUCAUUUCUUAUAUAGUUUUUUGUACGAUUAUUUACCGCAUAAACAUAGAUAGCAAACUUUCAAAGAGAUAUCUUUAAAAUCUUUCAUAAUCAUCUUCUAUACCUACAUAUACGUACAACUUUGAUAUUAUAUAUACAUUAAAAUAGAGUUUAUCUUGUAUACGUAUCCACGCUCGACUUUGUAGGAUAUACGAAUAUGAUAAUGUUCGACGAAUUCUGCUUGACGUAUACGUUGGAUGCGUUUGGCGGCGAAUGCUCUUAUAUGGAACGAAUGAUAGAUAUACGAACGCUUGUUAAGCAUACGCGAGAUACAUAUGGAGAAAUAUGGUCGGCCGACGAAUAAUGCAAUAUCUACUGAAUACUAAUCGCGCGUUCACCGUGAUAUAUUCGCGCUACACCAAACCUCGCAUAACUUUCGUUGGGUAAACGUCGACGAGGAAGACGCGUGACGAAGGAUAAUUUAUUUAUCGUGAUAAUUAUUUUAAACUCUCUUUUCCGGAACGACGACAAUGACGACGACGAUGACGACGAACGAACGGAGUUUCGGAACUAUAAAGUAACUUACGUCGUUGUUGUUUUUUACCGUUCCGGUGAAGUAGAAAAUUUUCGGACCGAGCCUUUUUGCUCCACGAGUAACAGUGACUGAUGGCUCAUCAUCGCGCGCCAUUGUGUUCGGAAACGAAUGGCCACGUAUCUUACUCUCCUUCGGGAUAGACGGUGCGACUUUAUUCCCAUGCACGCGCGCGCGCGCGCGCACAAUCGCCGUGUUAUCGACCCGUCGAACAAUUUCUAGCUGAAACCACGUGGUAAUAACCUCCAAUGCGGUGACACAGUUUUUCGAAAGACGCGAAAAGGAAAAAUAAUGAUACGUGUCGUAGACAGGAACUGGAUAUAUAUUUCAAAUCCAACAUGCUGUGCGGUACAACCCAUUCGUGGUUAAUAUAAAAGAAAUUUUUAUUGAUUAGUUGUUACAUUUUACAUGGAUUAGUUUUCGUUGCGUCUGGAUUAUCUGUUUAAUAAAUGUUUCUUGAUUUCUAGUUAUAGCCAUCGUCUAAUUUCCUAUCUUAAUAGUAUGUUUAUUCGUGGUUAAAUCAUUUAAUUAUCUACGUCAUCUGUUAUCGCGUAAUCAUCUUGUCAAAAAUCUGUAUUCCUACUCAUCGUGCAUUCAAAUUAUAUACGAGCUAAGCGUUUACGUGCUCCUUUCAUUGAUAGAGAGAAAGAGAGGAACCGAGGUACAUACACUCCCUACGUGACACUUUCGCGCGGAAAGUGUAAAUCAUGAAGGCCAAAAAGCCGUACGCUUUCGAGCGCGCACACAGUCGACCAGAUGGAUCGUUAAACGCGCUUAAUAUGCAGGUAAUGCGUCGAGACAGCGUACCCACCGCCUGUCCAUAUUAAAUUCUUAGCGGAUUCCACGCGUCGCGCUUAAUGUCGUUCAUUAAUCAAUGCUUUGUGCGAGCGCCACUAAGUGGGAUCCAAAUGUUUCGACAAGACGAGCUUAUUUUUAUUUUCAAGCGUGCUACCCUCGUCCUCUCUCUCUCUCUCUCUCUUUUUCUCUGUCUCUCUCGAAGAGUUUCGCCCCCAUUGUGCGUCGCGUCGUAACGUUUCACCGAUACAACGUUGCAGCAGACACCGGCCGAUGCUUGUCCCGGUAUAUUACCGCCUGAAUACAUUGUAAGUUAUGGGGCCCCAUUAUAUGUAAAGCAGGAUGUGUCAGGUCAGCUAUACUCGUCCGUUCUCCCAUCCGAGGAGAGCGAAGACGUUCACGUGGGGAGCGCCUCGUCAUUCUUCGAACGAUCGCGUUAAUACGACGGAGAAAGGACUUUUCGUCGCGUUAGAAAACCUAAUUUAGAGCUAGGGCUAAGGAUGAGGCUGUUUGGGUAUUCAAAUCCACGAAUUUUCUCCGGAAUACCGAAUUUUUUUUCGGCUACGGCGAUCGGUCCGGUCCGUGAGAUAAAGGAUUACAUCGUUUGUCGAUUAUUUAUCUUUUUUAAUCAAAGAUCCGAUUAAGGGAUCCUUUCGUUUAUAAUAUACCUGAGAAAUGAGAGCUCGCUUUAAUAUAUACAUUUUAUUUGGAACCGCUGAAGUUAUUUUUUUAAGUAGUGCGCGCUUCAUAUUCAUCAGAUAUUAAAAGAAAAUAGUGGAUGCCGCGCGCCUACAAGUAUAAUAUUCAUAUCUAUGUAUAUCUCUUUACUUUCUGCGGAGAAUAUGAAAUACGUUUUCCGCAUAUGUAUUAUUCAGUCGUUGCUUUUUGUUCGUUUCCCGGCCCGCCAUUUUAAUUUAUAUCAAGAUAAUUUCGUUGCGUAACGACGAAAUAACAAUUUCUUGUUUCUUCAUUUAUUUGUGAUACAUUAUUAGCCCGUUAAUUAGCAUGUUUUACAUUUGUUUGUUUUAUUUUGAUCGUUGUUUGUCGAAUGCAUUUUGUAUAGUCAUCGAUGCAUUCUACGUGUGGUAAUGCAAGCGAACUUUAACAGAUGCCGCCACAUUUUCCUUUCUGUCUUUAAAACAUUCGGGGACAUUCCAUGAAAUUCCUGGUGUGAUGGAUUUGCGAAACCUACAUCAUUUCCAUCGGGAAAUAAAUGAAUGCGAAAUUGUUUAAGUAAUUGGAAAUAUAACACAUAACAAUAACAAAAAAAUAGAAAUAUACGAGGUUGACCAGCAAAUAUCGAGGAUUUAUUUGCAGUCGAAUCAUCGAUGUACGACGUGUAAACCGUAUAUAUCACUGCGAAUCGUUAGGAACCUCGUGCAUCGAUGUUGUUUGAUGUUGGACGUUGCUGCGGUGGUGGCAUGCGGCGGAAAGGUUAAUAAUAUCAAUCGAUACCGCGGGCAGAAAUUUUUCAUACUCUCUACCCGGUAUUUGUGGACGUCUACUGCAGCACGGCUUAUUGGUCGAUCGUGUACGAGUUGUGUGUGUGUACACGAGACACGCCAACUGACCAUUAUGCAGAUUUCUAAUGAUUAGAUAUAUCGGUCCUACCUCGGUAAAAUGAAUGUAAUGUACCUUUGCAGAAUUCUACCUUUGCUACGUUCAUCCUGCCCCGUUGGUACUUCCCUAAUUCGUUAUCUUGACUAACGACCUCUUGUCUUUUACUUGAGAGAGAAAGGAGGGAUGGUAAUUCAAUAAUAAGUCGAAGAAAUUUCCGAAGUUAAUUUUGAACAAUCCUGAAACAACAAACUUCACUAUCAUAUAGGUUUAAUGUAUAUAAGUAAAUUAUUCUAUUUAAAUAGUUUAUCAGUCAAGCAAUUUAAAUAAGGUUUCCAUUUGAAUGCAAAACUUCUUUCUGUCUCAUGAGGUAUAACUUCGCUAGCAAGAAAAUUGCUAAGUUAUCCUUCUAAUAGUUUCAAAUUCCGUGUGGUCGAUAUUUAAUACGAUCGCAUAAGUGAAAUUUACGAGAUGAUUUAUAACAGGUUGCUCUACUUUAUUUCUAUCAUUUUCGUUGGUUAUAUCAAAGUUUGUUAUUGAAAAUGAGAGACAAAUUACCGCAUCUUCGGAAGAAAAUAUUUGGAAGUAAUAAUGACGGGAAAAAGUUAAUUCUUUUCCGAUAAAUUGAGAAUAGUCGAUAUUUGGAUAGUCUUGAAGUCUUAUUCGUUCGCCGUGCGGUGGGAAGUACGUGCCAAAGGCUAAAGAGUUAAUAUUGUCGCACAGGUGUUGCCAUAACGAGGGUCUUCUCGUGUCUCCUUAAUACACAGGUCGUUGGUAACACCAGCCAAGUGGAAAAGCAACGCGGCGCGAUCUCGAAGCGUAACAACGGUAGGAAGACGUCGCUUUACGCUGUUUAUGAGUGCAGUAAUCUUUAAAGCGGCCUGCUAACUGUGACACCAAAAGAACGUUUCGAUGCUGCUGGAAGGCGAGAGCAUAAGGAAAACAUUUUCACGAUCCUUGCCAAGUAUAUCGCAUUCUUGACGGUAUAUCUCUCGCGAAAUAUAUAAUACACUUCGUGAGUUUGGAACAUUAGUUGCGAGGAGUAAUAAAUAAGAAAUCGUUCGUAACUUAUAUCUAUAUUUUCUCGAAUCGAUCACCUUUUCUUGAAUUUUUUCUCUAUAAGAAAAGUACAAACAGAAUAUCACGACAAUUUCCAAAAUGUCCAACAUAUGUCUUUUGUCCUUUUUGUCAUUAAUUUUGAACAGUUGGAAAAGUAGUUUGUAAGACGAUGCUACAGUGUCGUGGGCCCUUUGAUAAAACCCGUGAAUGAUUCGUCGAAUGUUAAUGUACCAUCGCAUUAAUAUUCAUGAGUAGCCUAUCUCUCGCGCGUCCCAACAUUUACAACUGAAACGGAUACGUAUGAAGCUGUGCGCGCAGGCACCCUGUCUCUCUCUCUCUCUCUCUCUCUCUCUCUCUCUCUCUAUGUAUAUACACACACACACACACACAUAUAUAUAUAUAUAUCUUUUUCUUUCUCUCGGUUGCAUUCCUUGAGAACCGAGUACGGUGACUUCGAAAAGAAACGACGAUGCGGCUGGCUCGACGCGUUCGCUUUUUCGAUGAAUAAAGAGUGCCGUAGUACGAUUUUAUUGAAUCUACUAGAAAAGAUACGUCAUUGCGGAAUGAUCGGCUCUCUUAAAAUUUCCUUCCAGGUCGGUGACUUUUUUAUUGGAUUACGUAGCUCGAUAUAGCGGCUGUAAGUUAUGCUCAAUAUUAGCAUAUUUCAAGCUGUAUAAUUUAUGCAUCCAUUACAUCACCAGGGAGAAAGGGGAGAAAGUUAAAGGGGUGGACUUCGUACAUUACCUUGGAUUCGAAAAGGGGACGAAGUAGAACGACGAUGAUGACGACGACGACGACGACUACGACGACAACGAAGAGGAGGCUCACCACCGAAACGAGGAAGUCUCGUUUAUUGAUUUUAUCUCCUAACAAAAUACGUCGUACCGUGGAUACUUCGGGAGGUAAUAUUAUCGAUCAGUCAACUCCAAGAGGAUACGACGACGAAGAACGAACGAGAUGAUGAAGAAUUCCGAUUUAUGGUUUUCCUCUCUCGGAACUUCCGCAUGGUGAGAUCUGGAAAUCGGUAUUGCCUACGACGUUUAUACAUUUUCCAUGAUACAACGUAGCCACUGUCUGAGCUAAUGGCCGACAUUCGAUACAUUAGAAAAUUUUGGUACAAGCCGACGGAGAACGGAACCAACUAACAAUGCCUGGUCAUACAUCGAAAUCGCGAAGGACACGGUCCUCCUGCAUACAAACGAAAGAGGAGGACAUUCGGGUUUUCUUAAUCAGCGAGGGGAAGGAAAGUUGACUCGUACGAAUUACUCGACAAGCACGGAAGGCGAUAAUUUCGAGGGGCGAAACUCCUUUUAUGGUGCAUCACCGAGGUCUCCAUUUGCGUCUACCUCUUCGAAAGAUCUCGACGAUAAUACACGGAUCUCCGACUUCCAUUAUGGCGGAUAGAAGAACGGAAACGGCGGGAUAACGACCGCGACGGUGAUACGCGACGGAGGUAGUACGCGUCUGGGAGCAAGCAGAGGGCCGGAGGGCUGAUAGGGGCAGCUCGAGAGACAGCUGACAAGGUCAUGGAAUUCGUUAGAGCAGGGCCCGUGUAACGAGGAAACUUUGGCACCUAUCGGAUGAGCCGGGGGAAAAGAUCGAAGGAGAUGCAAUGGGAGAGUACAGUUUGGAAAUUCGAGGGUACAUGACCAGUUCGAGGCAUCUCCCAGCGAGUCGCCGGUUAUGAAGUUGGAGGUUACGAGUCCGCAUCUGGCGCCACAUGGCCCCUUUACCCUCUACUCCCUCUCUUCCCCUUAUCCAACCAACUUUCCUCAUUUGCGAUAAUGUAUGGCCACCCAUUAAGGCGGAGGCAUAGACCGAUCUUAACCAGGGAACAGGUAACGGGUAGCCACGUAAAAUGUUCCCGGCUGGCAACGAAGAAAUUAACGGGAACACGAGUCAUUCUGCGGACUCCGAUUGCAAAUGUUGCUACCAGAGAAUUCAUUUUGAUAUACAGAGUGAUUCUAAAGCGUGAUUAACAAAUAUAUAUUUUAAAAAUUAAAAGCAAGAUAAAAGAUUUCUAGAUUUUACGUAUAGGAAUGUAGAAAAUGUAAUAUAUCAUAGAAUUUCUAUUAGGUAUCGGUCAUUUUUUUACCUAAAUACAAUAUCAUAUUCAAUAAACUAGGAAACAUGCUUGAAACGAUUUGUAUACUCUCGAGCGAUAGGUAAUAGACUUUGGAAAUAGGAUUAGAAGUCACUGUAAAGUUUAUCGAGCGUGCAAUGUGGAGCGGUGAGUUUGAACAGGCUCCAUGCGUUACUCUAUGUUAAAUUUCACACACUUGUGACUAAAGUUGCUCGGAUAUAAUUUGUAUGCUUGGGAUUCGCCCGAAACUAUCGAUCAAAGAUAUCUCUAAACUAAGAUCCGUGAAAUCGAGCUUUCAAUCGAAUGAAUAUUUAAUGAAAGAAAAAAUUUCAUUGUGUUAAGUCCAAAUAAAAAUAGCGAAGCAAUCUUAUUUACAAAAAACUUAUUUUAAGGAAACUUUUACCCCCCUCCCAUCGACAUCUAAAAAUUCUUUUAGUCUCCUGAGAAUGUAAUUCAGUAGCAGAAAUGCGAAAGCUAUAAAUAUCGAGACACGGUGGUAAUGCAUGGUAAAAUUGUAGGACGGUAAUAUCGUAUAGUAAGUGGAAAUUGCUUCUUCAAUUCUGGCACUUUAAUCCCGAGCAAGAAAAUCGAUGUUUCCCUUAGAUCGACAGGAAGGGUACAUUGAUUUACCUCAGGAACGACAGCUUUAUUACUCUAUUUUUAUAUGUGUGUACCUGUAUAUGUGUGUGUGUAUGUGUACAAACGUAACUGCAUGAAUAAAAUCAGCGCUUGCACCAAGACGACGGCUUUCACCUGAGAUUGAUUCCCAUCCCGACGAAAAAUGCGGCUACGUUGCUGCCGCCACCGCUUUAGGAUCUUGAGAUUGGAUUCUCUUUCCCUCUACCACUAGUUGUACUUUUUCUUUCAUAGUACGACGACGACGACGACGACGAGAACGAUGAGAACGUGGAAAACGAAGCGAGACGAAUCGAAGCGAACGUAAAUAACCAUGACUACUCUUUUACCUUCCGAUUACGUUAUAUUUUUAGUUAUACUAUUUUUUACGAAAGACAUUUCUACGAGCACGAAAUAUUCUUUAUUGAAAUUAUAUCGACCUAUACAAAAAGUUGUAAG